rnacentral:rRNA from 1 species
CCUACGGGAGGCAGCAGUGGGGAAUAUUGGACAAUGGGGGCAACCCUGAUCCAGCCAUGCCGCGUGUGUGAAGAAGGCCCUCGGGUUGUAAAGCACUUUCAGUGAGGAAGAACGCCUGGUGGUUAAUACCCAUCAGGAAAGACAUCACUCACAGAAGAAGCACCGGCUAACUCCGUGCCAGCAGCCGCGGUAAUACGGAGGGUGCGAGCGUUAAUCGGAAUUACUGGGCGUAAAGCGCGCGUAGGUGGCUUGAUAAGCCGGUUGUGAAAGCCCCGGGCUCAACCUGGGAACGGCAUCCGGAACUGUCAAGCUAGAGUGCAGGAGAGGAAGGUAGAAUUCCCGGUGUAGCGGUGAAAUGCGUAGAGAUCGGGAGGAAUACCAGUGGCGAAGGCGGCCUUCUGGACUGACACUGUCACUGAGGUGCGAAAGCGUGGGUAGCAAACAGGAUUAGAUACCCGAGUAGUC